rnacentral:rRNA from 1 species
AUUGAACGCUGGCGGAAUGCUUUACACAUGCAAGUCGAACGGCAGCACGGGGGGCAACCCUGGUGGCGAGUGGCGAACGGGUGAGUAAUACAUCGGAACGUGCCCAGUCGUGGGGGAUAACUACGCCGAAAGCGUAGCUAAUACCGCAUACGAUCUACGGAUGAAAGCGGGGGAUCGCAAGACCUCGCGCGAUUGGAGCGGCCGAUGGCAGAUUAGGUAGUUGGUGGGGUAAAGGCUCACCAAGCCUUCGAUCUGUAGCUGGUCUGAGAGGACGACCAGCCACACUGGGACUGAGACACGGCCCAGACUCCUACGGGAGGCAGCAGUGGGGAAUUUUGGACAAUGGGCGCAAGCCUGAUCCAGCCAUUCCGCGUGCAGGAUGAAGGCCCUCGGGUUGUAAACUGCUUUUGUACGGAACGAAACGGCGCUUUCUAAUACAGAGCGCUAAUGACGGUACCGUAAGAAUAAGCACCGGCUAACUACGUGCCAGCAGCCGCGGUAAUACGUAGGGUGCAAGCGUUAAUCGGAAUUACUGGGCGUAAAGCGUGCGCAGGCGG